rnacentral:rRNA from 1 species
GGGGUAGUGGCCUACCAAGCGGCGACGGGUAGCCGGCCUGAGAGGGCGUCCGGCCCACUGGGACUGAGACACGGCCCAGACUCCUACGGGAGGCAGCAGUGGGGAAUAUUGCGCAAUGGGCGGAAGCCUGACGCAGCGACGCCGCGUGAGGGAUGACGGCCUUCGGGUUGUAAACCUCUUUCAGCAGGGAAGAAGCGCAAGUGGCGGUACCUGCAGAAGAAGCGCCGGCUAACUACGUGCCAGCAGCCGCGGUAAUACGGAGGGCGCAAGCGUUGUCCGGAAUUACUGGGCGUAAAGGGGGCGCAGGCGGCUCAGUAAGUCCUGUGUGAAAGCCCGCGGCUCAACCGCGGAAAGCCAUAGGAUACUGCUAAGCUAGAGACGGGUAGAGGCGAGUGGAAUUCCCGGUGUAGCGGUGGAAUGCGCAGAUAUCGGGAGGAACACCGGUGGCGAAGGCGGCUCUCUGGGCCUGUCCUGACGCUGAGGCGCGAAAGCUAGGGGAGCGAACAGGAUUAGAUACCCUGGUAGUCCUAGCCGUAAACGAUGGGCGCUAG